AUUGAACGCUGGCGGCAUGCUUUACACAUGCAAGUCGAACGGUAACAGGCCUUCGGGUGCUGACGAGUGGCGAACGGGUGCGUAAUGCAUCGGAACGUACCCAGAGGUGGGGGAUAACGCAGCGAAAGCUGUGCUAAUACCUCAUGUGAUCUGAGGAUGAAAGCGGGGGACCGAGCAGCAAUGUUUGGCCUCGCGCCUUUGGAGCGGCCGAUGUCGGAUUAGCUAGUUGGGGGGGUAAAGGCCUACCAAGGCGACGAUCCGUAGCCGGUCUGAGAGGAUGAGCGGCCACACUGGGACUGAGACACGGGCCAGACUCCCACGGGAGGGAGGAGGUGGGGAUUUUUGGCAAUGGGGGGAAGCCUGACGCCGCAAAGCCGCGGGAGGGAAGAAGGGCUUCGGGGUGUAAAACCCUGUUUGGCGGGAAGAAAAAGGGUGCCCGUAAAUCCGGGCGUCAUGACGGGACCUUAUAAGAAAACCACGGCUAACUACGUG
rnacentral:rRNA from 1 species